GGAGUAACCCAGACUGAAUACAUAGGUCUGUGGUGGCGAACCCGGCGAACUGAAACAUCUAAGUAGCCGGAGGAACAGAAAUCAACCGAGAUUCCCUAAGUAGUGGCGAGCGAACAGGGAUCAGCCUGCAAGAGAUAACUAGUGUAUUAGUGGAACGCUCUGGAAAGUGCGGCCGUAGUGGGUGAUAGCCCCGUACGCGAAAAUACAUUAGCGAGACUGAGCUUGCGACAAGUAGGGCGGGACACGUAAAAUCCUGUCUGAAGAUGGGGGGACCAUCCUCCAAGGCUAAAUACUCGUAAUCGACCGAUAGUGAACCAGUACCGUGAGGGAAAGGCGAAAAGAACCCGGAGGGAGUGAAUAGAUCCUGAAACCGCAUGCAUACAAACAGUGGGAGCCUCAGCAAUGGGGUGACUGCGUACCUUUGUAUAAUGGGUCAGCGACUUACGUUCAGUAGCGAGCUUAACCGAAUAGGGGAGCGUAGCGAAAGCGAGUC
rnacentral:rRNA from 1 species